UCACUUUAUUCCCUUAUAAAAGAAGUUUACAACCCAUAGGGCAGUCAUCCUUCACGCUACUUGGCUGGUUCAGGCUUACGCCCAUUGACCAAUAUUCCUCACUGCUGCCUCCCGUAG
rnacentral:rRNA from 1 species